UAACCUCUCCCAGUCCUUCCGAGAAGUUGCCUUUAAAUUCUUCUCGCAGCGACCACUCAGCUUGUCUGGCUCCAGCUGUCUGAGGCACCAUGGAGACGCGUUUCAUUCUCCACCUUUGGAUCUUUAACCUACUAGGUGCGGUGCUGGGUGACUCGAUCCGGUCCAAUGAACCCGCGGUGCCCAGAUCACAAGGCGACACCGUGACCCUCAGCUGUUCUUAUGAAACUAGCUACACUGCUGGUGUCUAUCUCUACUGGUACCGCCAGUACCCGAACCGAGCCCCGCAGUACAUCCUCCUGAGAGGAGCAAAAGGAAGCACGUUCAGUGAUACUGCAGAUUUCGCCCAGGAGAGGUUUUCUUCGCAGGCGAACGACACCUCCACAGUUCUGAACAUCGCAGCCCUGGAGCUGGCAGACACAGCGGUGUAUCUCUGCGCCCUGCGUCUGGCACAGUGACAGAGCCUCACAGCAGAGCUGUACAAAAACCUCCCAGCCCUGCUGCAGGGGAUGCCACAGGCCUUAAAACGGGCUGCAGCGCCUUGAAACAGCCUGAGUACUGACGCUGCUUAAAAUACAUCUCCUCCUAACAGUUACAGGUUUCUGUAAAGAGCUAAUUUAAACACAAUCCUUGAAUAAUAUUAUGGGCCUGAUCUUUAAUUAGGAAACCAUUAAUACCUAUUUUCUUAGCUGACGAGAUGACCUGUUCUGUGUUGCGUGGGGGAAAAGCAUUUGUAGUAAAACAGGGGUUAAAGGUGAGUACAAAUGUAGAUGACGUGACAUUGUUGAAAAUGCAAAUUGAGAUAAAAUGCGAAUGAAAACAUCCCUUUACACAUGGACAAUGAACCGUUAAAUUGCUCAUUUAUGUUGAAAUGGGGGUUAAAUACGCGAGUUAAAAUACUGGGGAAAUAAUUCGAAAUACCCGGUUUUGAGUGGUGGGGUAAAGCUGCAGUUACCAACUCUCCCAGAGUCAAAUCAAUGCUCCUGUUGUAGAGACAUUUGCAUUUUGGGUAGAUUUGUUUGGAAAUUAUUUAAUUGCAAGACACUUUCCCCAAGAACCGUGAACUCUAAAAUCACGUGGUACGUGGUAAAGUCAUGACAAAGCACCGCCAUCUGCUGGUUGGAAAUAUAAACACAGGUUGUCAUUGGAAACCCUUCCACGCGCUGUCUUGGGUUUCACUCAGGCUGCCGGCAAAGGCAGCAGAGGAAAGACGAAAAUGAUUUUAAACAAUUCUUUCAGGAGUUGUGGCUGGGCAUUUCAAAGGAGGUUAAUGGAGUUGGGUGCCUCAUCCCAUUACAUUUGUUGUGAUAAUCCCAGACGUUAUUGCCUGUAAACAUAUUCAUGCCCCAUCCCAC